rnacentral:rRNA from 1 species
GAGUUUGAUCCUGGCUCAGAUUGAACGCUGGCGGCAGGCCUAACACAUGCCAAGUCGAGCGGAUGACGGGAGCUUGCUCCUUGAUUCAGCGGCGGACGGGUGAGUAAUGCCUAGGAAUCUGCCUGGUAGUGGGGGACAACGUUUCGAAAGGAACGCUAAUACCGCAUACGUCCUACGGGAGAAAGCAGGGGACCUUCGGGCCUUGCGCUAUCAGAUGAGCCUAGGUCGGAUUAGCUAGUUGGUGGGGUAAUGGCUCACCAAGGCGACGAUCCGUAACUGGUCUGAGAGGAUGAUCAGUCACACUGGAACUGAGACACGGUCCAGACUCCUACGGGAGGCAGCAGUGGGGAAUACUGGACAAUGGGCGAAAGCCUGAUCCAGCCAUGCCGCGUGUGUGAAGAAGGUCUUCGGAUUGUAAAGCACUUUAAGUUGGGAGGAAGGGCAGUUACCUAAUACGUGAUUGUUUUGACGUUACCGACAGAAUAAGCACCGGCUAACUCUGUGCCAGCCGCCG